rfam:Agrilus planipennis Contig73844, whole genome shotgun sequence.
AGUACACUAUUUUGAUUAUCUCGUAAGGUUCAGCCAGCGUUUGAAAUGUAACGGCUGAAGGGGACCUUAAUUGGUCCUAGAACGGCCGGGGGUAGAGGGGUUUUAGUCGGUAGGUUCGAAGACUUCUUCCUCGGGAAUCCGACACUACCCAGUCGUAUGGACGACUGGGUGUCUUUUGAAGAUUUCCCCUCUUCCACGAAA